rnacentral:rRNA from 1 species
GACGAACGCUGGCGGCGUGCUUAACACAUGCAAGUCGAACGGAAAGGCCCUGCUUUUGUGGGGUGCUCGAUUGGCGAACGGGUGAGUAACACGUGAGUAUCCUGCCCUUGACUUUGUGAUAACUUCAGGAAACUGCGGCUAAUACCGGAUAGGAGCUCCUGCUGCAUGGUGGUGGUUGGUAAGUUUCGGCGGUUGGGGAUGGACUCGCGGCUUAUCAGCUUGUUGGGGGGGUAGUGGCUUACCAAGGCUUUGACGGGUAGCCGGCCUGAGAGGGUGACCGGCCACAAUGGGACUGAGGUACGGCGCAGACGCCUACGGGAGGCAGCAGGGGGGAAUAUUGCACAAUGGGCGGAAGCCUGAGGCAGCAACGCCGCGUGCGGGAUAACGGCCUUCGGGUUGUAAACCGCUUUCGCCUGUGACGAAGCGUGAGUGACGGUAAUGGGUAAAGAAGCACCGGCUAACUACGUG